CCUACGGGAGGCAGCAGUGGGGAAUAUUGCACAAUGGGGGAAACCCUCUGAUGCAGCCAUGCCGCGUGUGUGAAGAAGGCCUUCGGGUUGUAAAGCACUUUCAGUAGGGAGGAAAGGUAGCAGUUUAAUACGCUGUUACUGUGACGUUACCUACAGAAGAAGGACCGGCUAACUCCGUGCCAGCAGCCGCGGUAAU
rnacentral:rRNA from 1 species